GCAAAUUGUAAAUGGUAGCACUGCUCUGCCU
rnacentral:piRNA from 1 species